GCGGUGGCUAAGACCCCGAGGGGGAAGCGGCGGCUGAGCCAGGGUCGCGCCUCCGUUGGAAGCCUGGGCUGAGUGCAGCAGAGGGGUUCUGCGGCGGGCGCGAGCGGACGCCCUAGACCUCGCCUCCCUCCCUCGCCCCAGAUUCAUUACUAAACAUGGGUGCAUUUUUGGAUAAACCCAAAACUGAGAAACAUAAUGCUCAUGGUGCUGGGAAUGGUUUACGUUAUGGCCUGAGUAGCAUGCAAGGAUGGAGAGUGGAGAUGGAAGAUGCACACACAGCUGUCGUAGGUAUUCCUCACGGCUUGGAAGACUGGUCGUUUUUUGCAGUUUAUGAUGGUCACGCUGGAUCCAGAGUAGCAAAUUACUGCUCAACACACUUAUUAGAACACAUCACUAAUAAUGAAGACUUUAGGGCAGCUGGAAAAUCAGGAUCUGCUCUUGAGCCUUCAGUGGAAAACGUCAAGAAUGGUAUCAGAACUGGCUUUUUGAAAAUUGAUGAAUACAUGCGUAACUUUUCAGAUCUCAGAAAUGGCAUGGACAGGAGCGGUUCAACUGCAGUGGGAGUUAUGAUUUCACCUAAGCAUAUUUACUUCAUCAACUGUGGUGAUUCACGGGCUGUUCUGUAUAGGAAUGGACAAGUCUGCUUUUCUACCCAAGAUCACAAACCUUGCAACCCAAGGGAGAAAGAGCGAAUCCAAAAUGCAGGAGGCAGCGUAAUGAUACAGCGUGUUAAUGGUUCAUUAGCAGUGUCUCGUGCUCUGGGGGACUAUGAUUACAAGUGUGUUGAUGGCAAGGGCCCAACAGAACAACUUGUUUCUCCAGAGCCUGAGGUUUAUGAAAUUUUAAGAGCAGAAGAGGAUGAAUUUAUCAUCUUGGCUUGUGAUGGGAUCUGGGAUGUUAUGAGUAAUGAGGAGCUCUGUGAAUUUGUUAAAUCUAGGCUUGAGGUAUCUGAUGACCUGGAAAAUGUGUGCAAUUGGGUAGUGGACACUUGUUUGCAUAAGGGAAGUCGAGAUAACAUGAGUAUUGUACUAGUUUGCUUUUCAAAUGCCCCCAAGGUCUCAGAUGAAGCAAUGAGAAAAGACUCAGAGUUGGAUAAGUACUUGGAAUCACGGGUGGAAGAAAUUAUGGAGAAGUCUGGUGAGGAAGGAAUGCCUGAUCUUGCCCAUGUCAUGCGCAUCUUGUCUGCAGAAAAUAUCCCGAAUUUGCCUCCUGGGGGAGGUCUUGCCGGCAAGCGCAAUGUUAUUGAAGCUGUUUAUAGUAGGCUGAAUCCACAUAGAGAAAGUGAUGGGUUUGAACCUUCAGUUGUAUACUUAGACAGCCUUUUCACCUUCUGAAUGGCAGUCUUGGGCACAUCCACUUGUAAACCUGUUGAGAACUUUGGUGACAAGAAAGGCAGUGGCUGGCAGACCUUACAAGGCCUUAAAAUUACAGGAACAAAAAGGUUUUUUGUAAACAUGAAAGACAAACGAACCCAACAUUAUGUAAUUAUAGUAUUUAUACUGCUGUUAACCUUUAAUCUUACAGCCCAUUCAUUAAUGGAGGCAGAGAAGAACAUCGCUGCACCCUUCAAAAUCAUAUUUUGCUCUGUCCACGUGUUAAUUACCUGUGGCUUCUUGGCAGUAGUUUUGCUUUUAUUCCAGGGACUUUCAUGGUUAAGGGCAGGCUUUAAUAAAAGUCAUUAUUGUUUCCCUUCUAAAAGCACCAUUUAAAUCAGAAGUUACUGGAUUUCUAAAUGUUUAUGUAAGAGCAUCUUGUGACUGAUUUUAUGGUGCCCAGAUCUCAUCUGAAAUAUGAGGUACAGUGUUUAUAGUUAAUGUAAAGGGAAAUAGGUUUGUCAGUGGCUUAUUCUACAUGAAUACAAAUCUUAAUAACCCCCCUAAAUUAGACACUUUUUAGCUUAACUUUGAUGACUUCAAAGACCUGCCUUUAGGAAUAUAGAAGGUAGUGAAUUUCUUGAUCAGGCAAGGAAUUGGCUCAAGUAUUUUCUCAUAGAUGCUUUUUCCAGUGGCCAAAAGAGAGUCCUUUUGGACAACAAUACAUCAUCUAGGUAAGCUCCCCUUUUGUACCUUUUAUUACAAUUCCAUUUGCUAAUUUACUUAUUUUAUAUUUCUUAUUGUGUUAUGAAUGAACUGUUUUUCUUCCAAUAUAUUUUUAAUUCAUACCUUCUUGGUAUAAUCAGGGAGUAGUAAUUGACUGACUGAACAGUAACUAUAUACAUUCCCUUUCUGAGAGAUUUUAUUUCCACUCUGAGAUUGAAAGGUACGAAAAAGUAUAAGAACAAAAAGAACAGGUUCGGUCCUUAUGCAGAAUGGUAUGCCAAGGUUAAUUCUUGCUUUUCCAAAGGAAAUUGAUGUAAAUAUUCUAGGAGGUAAUAUAGAAAAAAUGUUGACAGACAGUAAAUAAUUUCUUUUAGGGUAAAUCAUGAAAAAGUUUCCUUUUUAAAUCCCUGAUGAUUCUAGGAUAUAGUUAUGUGGAACAGCAAAUUUCUUUCAUGUAUUACAUGGAUUUAUUCAUGUUUUGUGUGAUCUCUGAGAAUGAAUGUUGAAAUGGUCUUAAGGGAAUCUCAGCUAUGCAGUAAUUAUGCCUAGAGCUUUUGUGUAGUGUACCAAGACAUACCUUUAACGAAGACAAGUUGAAAUCAGUUAGAAUUAGGUUCAUGCCACAUAUUUUCAAAUAGUUAUGGGUAAUCUAAAUUAUAUAGAUAAAGCCAUAAGUUAAAUACAGCUGGAAGAUUGGCUAUGUAAAAUUAUCUUUGAAAAGGAAGCAGUUCCCUUCUAAGAACCCAUGUUUGUAUAUAUUUAUAUAAUAUUUUUUAGGGCUCUUGGCUUUUUCAGGGUGGGACACACAUGAAUCUGGCAGUUAAGUUAUAUUAUAGUAUAACAGCGUAUACAGUACGCUAGUCAAAUGUCUUUCACAAUCAAAAGUUUACACGUCAAUGCUGGCUGCUUUAACACUUGGGAAAAUUUCACUAUCAGAAAGCAACACACUCACAAAUGUUUGUCAAUUUGAGAGAGAAAUUGUGGCCCAUAAAACAAACUCUGAAUGUUUUGUAGUUUUACAUCCUCAAAAGUUUUAACAUAGUAGUUCUGAAGAAUUGUCAUUUGUGUAUUCUUCAAAGAGAGUAAUUUUAUAACUGGACAGAUCUUUAAAUACAUAUUUAUGAAAUCUCAAAGUUGGAAAAUCCCUGAAUACCAAAUGGGCCGCUGAUCCAAUUCUCCGGGGACCAGAAUCUACCUCCAUUUUGGGGGCAGCUCUGCCUGUCCUGGUUGGUUCUGUUUCUUCCUAUCAUUUGUCUUAUGAACCCCUUGGGGCCAAGCAUUUAACCAUGGCUGUUAUGAUGACUCCCAGUAUCUUCUCUUUUCUGUCACCAGUUACUUCACUGAUACAUUGCGGCUUCAAUUGCCUUUACCAUUCAAACCCCAAUUCUGCAAAGGCUCUAGUUUUCUGUAUCUUAAAGUAUACAACCCAGAACUGAACAUUUAUAGGUAGUAGAACUGUUAUCUUUUGUUCUAGUUAAUGCUCUUCUGUUCUUCUAUUUAACAUUCAAAUACUGAACUAGCUUUUCUGACACCCACAUGAAACUAUUUCAGUCUCUGAGGUUAAUUAUUUUUACUGAUGUUAAUAGUCUUUCCCCAUCCUACACUUGUGCAGUUGGUGUUUUGUUUAACCUGCUUUGCAGGACCUUCAUUUAUUCUAAGUUUUCUUGUGUUAGAUUUAUUAACCUUUUGAAAUAUUUUUGAAUUCAUCUAAGAUAUAUAUGCUAUCUUAUUCUUUUUGGUCACUCCGAAGUUUGAUAGGUAAACACUCAAUAUUGAAUGAAACAAGUCUGAGGACAGUGGCCUGAGAAACUUCUCUUUGAUGUGAUACAAAUUGCCCAGUCUAUUAAUCAGCACCCAUUAGGUAAGAAUUUCAGCAAUUUACUGAUUCAUCUAUCAGCCCGUUUCUCUCCAAGUUUGUCUAUAAGAAUAUCAUGGGAUCUUACAUUCCUUGCUGAAGUCCUGCAUUUCUCAAAUGUUAGUCAAGUAACUGCCCCCAAAAGUUCAUGAAGUUAAGUCAAACCUGUUGGUACGUAGUGAACAAUGUUCUCUUCCAAAAGGCUUAAAAAACAUUAUCAUUAUAAAUAAGGAUCUAUUCUAGGGCCUUUCCUGGCCCUAGAAGUUGUCCCCAUUUUUUACCUCUUCCAAAACUUGGAACGGCAUUUACCCUUUCUGAUAUUGUGGCCAACACCCACUCCACACUUCUGUAUAACUACAGUGGGCCACCCAGAAAUACUCCCAGAUUUUCAGUAUCGUUUCCUUGUUUUCCAUUAGCAUAAAAUAGGAAAUCGAGUUCUUAUUGGCCCUAUCACUUGUGUGUAAUUCAACUUAUUUGGAAUUUUCAUUUUGACCCUAUUCCUGUAGGCCCAUGCAAAUUUAGGUGUUUAUUUUUACUUGCGGUGUUUCUUGUAUCAUUUAUGAGUUUUUGAGAUUCUGAACUUGUUACAUUUCUUCCUGUGUAAACUUGUGGUUCUUGUUUUUGUUUUGUUGUUUUACUUCUUUUAGGUACAUCUCUCUUUUAAUUCUUAUGUAUAUGAUUCUUCAAUUUAAAAAGUAUUUAAAAAAAUAACCCUGAUGCACUUAAAAAAAAAAAAUCAAAUCUACAAACUUGGCCUACAGCCUGAGGCCAAGUGUAGCAUGUGGACUGGACAGAAAAGAACAGUGCCACGUCCAGAAGAUGCUAUUCACAUCACAGACAUUGGGUGCUCUUCUAUACAACUUCCUAGCAAGUGGCAGGAAGGUGUUCUUACGAAUAAAAUUAAUAUAGUUAUAUUACAACAAAUAUCUGUCAGGUGGGAAGUAAGGUGACUUGAGAAAGGAGUCCUUUUUAGAGAGUUUUUUUUUUUUUUUAAUUUAUCAAGGAUGCCACAUGGGCCAGCAGCAGCACUGGAGCCUGGUAUUUAUUCUAGGAAAGGAGAUGAUGUAGCUUCUCUCUUUACAUUCUUCCCUACCUAUAUUAUAUCCUCUUUCCAUUAAAAAAAAUGGGAAAAGGUAGCACUGUAGGAGUGUGGCAGAGGAACUGAGGAGCAUAUAGGUGAUUGUAAAGGACCAACUUUGGCUUUCUAGCCUUGAGUUCAGACUUCUUGGAAGAGCCUCUCUGUGAUACACUCUGGCCACCUUUUUUUUCACUUGUUUUUCUUGACUUUUUUGAUUACUAGGGCUCCAAAAAUAGCAAGUAAGAAAGAAGAUAUUAGAAUGGAAGAAAAUGCCCCAGUUGUAGACAGCUUUAUAAAUUUCUGCAGGUAUAUGAAUUAUAUAUAAUGUAUAUAUAGGUAGUAUAUUUCUUGGCACACAGUUCUGUGUACAUGCUAUACUUCAAUAAAAAUUUAUUUAAAAAAAAGAAACUUGGCUGGUGCAGUAAACUUCCUAUAUAUUUAUUUUUAUUUAUGUGAAGGUUUUGUUUGUUAAUGGAAGACAUGAAAAUAUUGAGUAGAUGUGAUGGGUAUGCUUUAGAUAGUAUGAACUGAAAUAUAGAUUAUGUGUUUUGUGAAAAACUCAGGGAAGUGGGAGGUAGAGGGCAGCCUUCAAAAAAUAGGCAGCAUUUUAAUCAGGGUAAGCUAAACUGAUAUAACAAACAGAACCAAACCUGUAAUGGUUCAAAAAAUAGGUUAUUUCGUGCUCAUGUAUAGACCAAGUUGAGUGUUCCAGGUAAGUGGCUUCUUUCUUCCAUGUAGUGAUUCAAGUCUAAGACUUUUUCCAUCUUGUGGCUAUAUCAUCACCCAGGGCCUUGCUAUCUGUAUCCAACCAGCAGAAGAGGAAAGUGAGCAAGGAAAAGAUAUGAACUUGAGAUAAAAUUCACAAGAGAAGAAUAGUCCAAAUUUUAUACUGAGUUACUUUUCACAUGUGCUCCUCUAUGUGACCUGCUUAGGUAGCAACUUUUAUCAGUGACAUAGGCCUUGCUCUGCAAAGCUCUUUGCUGGGGAGGAACCUAACCAACCUUUACAGGAGGAACCUAUUGCCACUGGUAGGUAAUUUGUAUAUGCUAUUUAAUUAAAUUUAAAUCAUUUAAAUUUAAUUAAAAUUUAAAAUUUAUGUGUAUUUUAUUUAAUCUUCAUAACAACACUAUGAAGUAAGUGUAGCCGAUGAAAAAGCUGAGAUCCAUCUAAAGAGACUGAAUGAAUUACCCAAGACCACAAAGCUUAGAACUGGCUGAUCUGGGAUUCAAACACAUGUCUAUUUGGCCCCAGACUUUCCCAUUUCACCGUGCUAGUGAAGAUAAGUUACCAUGAAAUUGUAACUCCACCCACAAGAAGAGAGGAGAGCACUUUACUGAAUUUAUUGAUGAGUUCUAGUAGUUUUUUUGUGGCAUCUUUAGGAUUUUCUAUGUCAUGUGCAAUGACCGUUUUACUUCUCCCCUUCCAAUUUGGAUUCCUUUUAUUUCUUUUUCUUAUCUGAUUGCUAUGGCUAGGACUGCCAAUACUAUGUUGAAUAAAAAGUGGCAAGAUGGGGCUUCCCUGGUGGCGCAGUGGUUGGAAGUCCGCCUGCUGAUGCAGGGGACGUGGGUUCAUGCCCCGGUCUGGGAGGAUCCCACAUGCCGCGGAGCAGCUGGGCCCGUGAGCCAUGGCUGCUGAGCCUGUGCGUCCGGAGCCUGUGCUCCGCAAUUGGAGAGGCCACAACAGUGAGAGGCCCGCGUACUGCAAAAAAAAAAAAAAAAAGUGGCAAGAGUAGGCAUCCUUGUCUUGUUCUUGAUCUUAGAGCAAAUGCUUUCAGUUUUUCACUGUUGAGUAUGAUGUUCACUAUGGGCUUGUCAUAUAUGGUCUUUAUUAUGUUGAAGUACAUUUCCUCUAUACCCACUUUGUUAAGAGUUUUUAUCAUAAAUCGAUCUUGAGUUUUUACAAAACCUUUUUCUGUACCUACUGAGAUGAUCAUAUGAUUUUUAUUCUUCAUUUUGUUAAUGUGAUGUAUCAUUCGAUUUGUGAAUACUGAACCAUCUUUGCAUCCUUGGAAUUAAUCCCACUUGAUCAUGGUGUAUGAUCUUUUUAAUACACUAUUGAAUUCAUUUUGAUGAGGAUUUUUACAUCUACGUUCAUCAGUGAUAUUG